CCGCGCCGCUCAGUCGGCGCCGAGUGGGGCGGCGGCAGUUGCUCCGGUAGGGAGAGUUUCCCACCGUGCCGGGCUGUCUCCCUACGUCCCUCGUCACCUUCCCGCCGCUGCACAGGCUAGGGGCGGCCCCGCCCGCUGGAUGCGCCCCGGGGCCGGGCGGGAGCGCUGCGGCCGCGCGGGGAGGAUUUACCGCGGCCAUGGACGACAAGUACCUGCCCGAGCUGAUGGCGGAGAAGGACUCGCUCGACCCGUCCUUCACCCACGCGCUGCGGCUGGUCAGCCAAGAAAUUGAGAAAUUCCAAAAAGGGGAAGGAAAGGAAGAAGAAAAAUAUAUUGAUGUAGUGAUUAAUAAAAAUAUGAAGCUGGGACAGAAAGUGUUAAUUCCCGUAAAACAGUUCCCCAAGUUCAACUUUGUGGGAAAGCUUUUGGGUCCACGUGGCAAUUCACUGAAACGUUUACAGGAAGAAACCUUGACAAAAAUGUCUAUAUUGGGAAAAGGUUCCAUGAGGGACAAAGCAAAGGAAGAAGAGUUGAGAAAAAGUGGAGAGGCAAAAUAUUUCCACCUAAAUGAUGACCUGCAUGUUCUAAUUGAAGUAUUUGCCCCACCAGCAGAGGCAUAUGCCAGAAUGGGACAUGCUUUGGAAGAAAUCAAGAAGUUUCUCAUCCCUGACUACAAUGAUGAAAUCAGACAGGCACAGCUGCAAGAGUUAACGUACUUAAAUGGCGGUUCAGAAAACGCAGAAGUUCCAGUUGUUCGCGGAAAGCCACCAAUACGAGCGCGAGGAGUACCCGCCCCUGCCUUGGCCAGGGGUCGUGGAGGUGUACCACCCCCACCAGCAGGAGUACCACGAGGGGCACCUGCCCCUAGGGGGGUACCUCCAAGUAGGGGCCCGGUCAGUCGUGGUCGUGGACUUCUAGCCCCCAGAGCAAGAGGAGUUCCUCCGCCUGCAGGUUACCGGCCUCUUCCACCACCGCCAGCACAGGAAACAUAUGGAGAAUAUGUUUCCACAGCCUGCUCUCCUUCCCCUCGUAUGAGUCCUAUGCCACCUGGAUUCUGCAUUGACAGAGGAACUGAGAGAAGGUUCGGUCUGCUCCAUUCUUUAUGCCCUCAGGUGGAUGGUGUAAAUUCACGUAGGGCACAGGAGUAUGAUGAUGGAUAUGGCACUGCUUAUGAUGAGCAAAGUUAUGAUUCCUAUGAUAACAGCUAUAGCACCCAAGCACAAAGCGGAGCUGACUACUAUGACUAUGGGCACGGGCUUAGUGAGGAGACGUACGAUUCUUAUGGGCAAGAAGAAUGGACCAACUCAAGACACAAGACACCUUCGGCAAGGACAACAAAGGGAGUCUACAGAGACCAGCCAUAUGCCAGAUACUGAUUGUACUGUCUGAUGUUGUGAAAUACCCAAUCUCCACCAGUCCUGUAUACUGUUCAAAGAAACACUAUACGUCUUGAGGAGCAAGGAGAACAAAAGCCCAUAUCUGUUGACGCUGUGGGACUUCUGUCAUGUCAGUCAUGGAUGACUUGGAAUAUUGUACUCACCAGCGUGCCUGGGCAACAAUGAAAUUGGCUUCGGAGUUUGAAAUCCAGCUCUGUUUCUCGUAUACUAUUUUGUGUACUGUACUAGUAAAGUGUACAACAUAAAUGCUUUAUUUUUUAACAAUUGUUGAAACUGUUUUUAAUUGUUUAAUUACUUAAUAAUGAACAACGUUUUUUAUGUAGAAGUUAAUAAAGAUUUUCCAUUUUAAAACGCCGGUAUAAAGCAAUAAUGCAUUCUUACGUUCCUCCAGUGACUCUUUGCUGUCUACGCAGCAAAUAAGAGUGCCCUGCCUUGAAGUCUUUUAUCACUGGUCCCACGGUAGACUUUUGGAGAUGCUUUAUCUACUCUGUAGCACAGACAAGUAAACACAACAACAAGGGACUUGCACAGAAGCUCGUGCUACACUUUUUACACUACUGCCCCAUCUGGGUGUACACAACUCUUCCCAAGCAAGACUGAUUAGCAAAUACAGCAUAAGCCCAGUUUCAGUUGUCUUUGAUUACUUUCUUAUGAAGACCACAGUCAAUGUGGACUGUUAUAGUGCUCCUUCUUUCGUUCACUCUGGUGCAUUGUGAUCAUAACUUUAAAGCUUGAGGAAUAUAUUCUCCACUAUUAUAAAGUCAGACAUGUUUUACAUUAGUGGGAUUUCACACAAGGCUUUUGUUUUGAGAAAUCUGUGCGCUCGUACCUACCAGACGUGUUUCCUCUGCUUCAUAUUAAUUGUGUUUGUGACCAUUUGUAACGCGAAUAAACUUAUGAUAGUUUUAACCUUUA